UACGAAGGGGGCCAGCGUUGUUCGGAAUUACUGGGCGUAAAGCGCACGUAGGCGGAUCGUUAAGUCGGGGGUGAAAUCCUGGAGCUCAACUCCAGAACUGCCUUCGAUACUGGCGAUCUUGAGUCCGGAAGAGGUGAGUGGAACUCCUAGUGUAGAGGUGGAAUUCGUAGAUAUUAGGAAGAACACCAGUGGCGAAGGCGGCUCACUGGUCCGGUACUGACGCUGAGGUGCGAAAGCGUGGGGAGCAAACAGG
rnacentral:rRNA from 1 species